rnacentral:rRNA from 1 species
UACAGAGGGUGCGAGCGUUAAUCGGAAUUACUGGGCGUAAAGCGUGCGUAGACGGUUAUUUAAGUCGGAUGUGAAAGCCCCGGGCUCAACCUGGGAAUUGCAUUCGAGACUGAAUAGCUAGGGUGCGGUAGAGGGAAGCGGAAUUUCCGGUGUAGCGGUGAAAUGCGUAGAUAUCGGAAGGAACUCAGUGGCGAAAAGCGGCUU